AUACAGAGGGUGCAAGCGUUAAUCGGAAUUACUGGGCGUAAAGCGCACGUAGGUGGUUCAUUAAGUCAGAUGUGAAAGCCCCGGGCUCAACCUGGGAACUGCAUUUGAAACUGGUGAACUAGAGUAUGGUAGAGGUAAGUGGAAUUUCUAGUGUAGCGGUGAAAUGCGUAGAUAUUAGAAGGAACAUCAGUGGCGAAGGCGACUUACUGGACCAAUACUGACACUGAGGUGCGAAAGCGUGGGGAGCAAACGGGAUUAGAUACCCCGGUAGUCC
rnacentral:rRNA from 1 species